CCUACGGGUGGCUGCAGUCUAGAGGCUUCGGCAAUGGGGGAAACCCUGACCGAGCGACGCCGCGUGGAGGAUGAAGGUCUUCGGAUUGUAAACUCCUUUCGGCUGGAAAGAAGGGCUUGGUGGCGAACCAGGCUUUGACUGACCAGCGGAAGAAGCCCCGGCUAACUUCGUGCCAGCAGCCGCGGUAAUACGAAGGGGGCAAGCGUUAUUCGGAUUUAUUGGGCGUAAAGGGCGUGUAGGCGGCUUGGGAAGUCUGGUGUGAAAACGCUACCGCU
rnacentral:rRNA from 1 species